rnacentral:rRNA from 1 species
UACGUAGGGUGCAAGCGUUAAUCGGAAUUACUGGGCGUAAAGCGUGCGCAGGCGGUUGUGCAAGACCGAUGUGAAAUCCCCGGGCUUAACCUGGGAAUGGCAUUGGUGACUGCACGGCUAGAGUGUGUCAGAGGGGGGGUAGAAUUCCACGUGUAGCAGUGAAAAUGCGUAGAGAUGUGGAGGAAUACCGAUGGCGAAGGCAGCCCCCUGGGAUAACACUGACGCUCAUGCAUGAAAAGCGUGGGGGAGCAAACAGG